rnacentral:rRNA from 1 species
CUCCGGUGAUCCCCGCCGGACCUGACUGCUAUCGGAUUGGUACUAAGCCAUGCGAGUCGUUGUAGCAAUACAAGGCGGACGGCUCAGUAACACGUAGUCAACCUAACCUAUGGACGUGGAUAACCUCGGGAAACUGAGAAUAAACCGCGAUAGAUCAUUAUGCCUGGAAUGGCUUAUGGUUCAAACAAUUUAUUGCCGUAGGAUGGGACUGCGGCCUAUCAGCUUGUUGGUGAGGUAAUGGCCCCCCAAGGCUAUAACAGGUACGGGCUCUGAGAGGAGAAGCCCGGAGAUGGGUACUGAGACACGGACCCAGGCCCUAUGGGGCGCAGCAGGCGAGAAACCUUAGCAAUGUGCGAAAGCACGACUAGGUUAAUCCGAGUGAUUUCUGUUGAAGAAAUCUUUUGUCAGUCGUAAAACCACAGACGAAUAAGGGGUGGGCAAGUCUGGUGUCAGCCGCCGCGGUAAUACCAGCACCUCGAGUGGUCAGGAGGUUUAUUGGGCCUAAAGCAUCCGUAGCCGGCUACGCAAGUCUCCGGUUAAAUCCAGCUGCUCAACAGAUGGGCUGCCGGAGAUACUACAUAGCUAGGGAGCGGGAGAGGUAGACGGUAUUCUGUGGGUAGGGGUAAAAUCCACUGAUCCAUAGAGGACCACCAGUGGCGAAGGCGGUCUACCAGAACGCGUUCGACGGUGAGGGAUGAAAGCUGGGGGAGCAAACCGGAUUAGAUACCCGGGUAGUCCCAGCUGUAAACGAUGCAAACUCGGUGAUGCAUUGGCUUAUGGCCAAUGCAGUGCCGCAGGGAAGCCGUUAAGUUUGCCGCCUGGGAAGUACGGACGCAAGUCUGAAACUUAAAGGAAUUGGCGGGGGAGCA